GGACUACUGGGGUAUCUAAUCCUGUUUGCUCCCCUAGCUUUCGUCCCUCAGCGUCAGUUGCGGUCCAGCGAGCCGCCUUCGCCACGGGUGUUCCUGCCGAUAUCUACGCAUUUCACCGCUACACCGGCAAUUCCACUCGCCUCUCCCGCACUCGAGCACAGCAGUUUCGGAAGCAGUCUCACAGUUAAGCCAUGAGAUUUCACUCCCGACUUGCCACACCGCCUACGGACCCUUUACGCCCAGUAAUUCCGAGCAACGCUGGCCCCCUACGUUUUACCGCGGCUGCUGGCAC
rnacentral:rRNA from 1 species